CGAGUUUGAUCCUGGCUCAGAACGAACGCUGGCGGCAGGCCUAACACAUGCAAGUCUAGCGCGCCCUUCGGGGUGAGCGGCGGACGGGUGAGUAACGCGUGGGAACGUACCCUUUGCUACGGAAUAGUCUCGGGAAACUGGGGGUAAUACCGUAUGAGCCCUUCGGGGGAAAGAUUUAUCGGCAAAGGAUCGGCCCGCGUUGGAUUAGGUAGUUGGUGGGGUAAUGGCCCACCAAGCCGACGAUCCAUAGCUGGUUUGAGAGGAUGAUCAGCCACAAUGGGACUGAGACAAGGCCCAUACCCCUACGGGGGGCGAGCAGUGGGGAAUCUUGCGCAAUGGACGAAAGUCUGACGCAGCGAUCUCGCGUGAAGGAUGAAGCUUUGCGGAGUGUAAACUUCUUUUCUGGGAGAAAACGACUGAUGGUAUCUCAAGAAUAAAGGGACGGCUAACUACGUG
rnacentral:rRNA from 1 species